AGCGAACGCUGGCGGCAGGCUUAACACAUGCAAGUCGAGCGGGCAUCCCUGUGGUGUCAGCGGCAGACGGGUGAGUAACGCGUGGGAACCUGCUCUUCGGCUUGCAAUAACUUAGGGAAUCUCUUCCUAAUACUGGAUACGUUCGAGAGUAGGAAGGCUUAUCUGGUGAAGGAUCGGCCCGCGUCUGAUUGGUUAGGUGGUGAGGUUAUGGCUCUCCAAGGGUACGAUCAGUAGCUGAUCUGAGAGGCUGAUCAGCCGCGCUGGGACUGAGGCACGGACCAGACUCCGACGGGGGGCAGCGGUAGAGAGUAUUAGGCGAGGGGGGCAACCCUAGUCCAGCCGUGCGGCGUGAGAGGUGCCGGCCUUAGGAUUGUAAAGCUCUUUUCUCCGGAGCGAUAAUGACGGUACCGGGGGAAUAAGCCCCGGCUAACUUCGUG
rnacentral:rRNA from 1 species